UACGUAGGGGGCAAGCGUUGUCCGGAUUUAUUGGGCGUACAGAUCGUGUAGGCGGCCAUACAGGUCCGUUGUGAAAACUGGAGGCUUAACCUCCAGACGUCGAUGGAAACCGUAUGGCUAGAGUCCGGAAGAGGAGAGUGGAAUUCCUGGUGUAGCGGUGAAAUGCGCAGAUAUCAGGAAGAACACCCGUGGCGAAGGCGGCUCUCUGGGACGGUACUGACGCUGAGACGCGAAAGCGUGGGGAGCGAACAGG
rnacentral:rRNA from 1 species